GGGGAUGCCCCGGUUUCGACGGAGGCGGGAAGACUUGUGCUGCAGGUAGGCGUGAAGGUGCCUUAAACUGACAAAAACUAUAACUGCCAAACGUGAAGAAGACUACGAGUCUGAAAACGAACAGUUAGCUCUGGCGGCGUAAGUCGCGGAGCCGGAACCGCAGCUGCGCCGUUCUGAGCGGCUGCUCGUUCUGUUGCUGAAUCAGGACUAUGCCCUGUGUAGUGUCCGAUAUGUACAGGGGACAUCUAUCGGAAUACGGCGGAGACGCUUUCAGUGCUGCUACCUUCGCCCGACAAUUACCUCGCACUGAUAUACCUGUAGACGCACCUGUUUUACGCAUUCGGACGGGAGUUCGACUCUCCCCAUCUCCAACU
rnacentral:tmRNA from 1 species